GGCUUCAUUUUUCCUGCCUGAUGUUGGGACCCAGACCCCAAUCCUCUACUUGAAGAAAGUCACAUAAUCCUUAGCAAAAUUACACGUUCACGUUCAACUUCCUCUCUCCAGAUUGCUUUUGUUCGCCCUGAAUAAAGUAUAUGCACACCAGUGUUUCCCUGAAGAUCAUCUAAGAGAGCUGUAGUACUUAAAUCUUCAGAGAAGGCCUUUUCCCCCACCCCCACUGCCAUAACAGGAUCCUGAUGUGGACUCUGCUCCGUCAUUUCCCAUCCAGUGUGAACACCCCAAUGGAGGAAGUAGAAUGAGAACCACAGGCAUCAACAAUAGUGAAAUCACUGCGUCAUGAUAGCUAGUGAAACACCCCCGAAACAAGUGGUUUUGACUGUAAAUGCCAGAAUCCUACUACAUGUAUUCUACCCAAAGCA